rnacentral:rRNA from 1 species
UCAGAACGAACGCUGGUGGCGUGCUUAACACAUGCAAGUCGAACGAGAAAGUUUCCUUCGGGAAAUUAGUAAAGUGGCGCAAGGGUGAGUAUCACGUGAAUAAUCUGCCCUCGAGGUCGGGAUAACAUGGUGAAAACUAUGCUAAUACCGGAUAAGACCACAUUUCAUAAGAAAUGCGGUAAAAGGAGUCUCAAUCUUCACUCGAGGAUGAGUUCGCGCAACAUUAGCUUGUUGGUGAGAUAAAAGCUCACCAAGGCUACGAUGUUUAGCCGGCCUGAGAGGGUGAACGGCCACACUGGAACUGAGACACGGUCCAGACUCCUACGGGAGGCAGCAGUGGGGAAUAUUGCGCAAUGGGCGAAAGCCUGACGCAGCAACGCCGUGUGAGCGAUGAAGGCUUUAGAGUCGUAAAGCUCUGUCAAAUGGGAAGAAUUUUGACGGUACCAUUAGAGGAAGCCCCGGCUAACUCCGUGCCAGCAGCCGCGGUAAUACGGAGGGGGCAAGCGUUGUUCGGAAUUAUUGGGCGUAAAGCGUAUGUAGGCGGUUAAGUAAGUCAGGCGUGCAAGCCCGUGGCUCAACCACGGAAUUGCGUUUGAAACUAUUUGGCUUGAGUACAGGAGAGGAAAGCGGAAUUCCCAGUGUAGCGGUGAAAUGCAUUGAUAUUGGGAAGAACAUCUGUGGCGAAGGCGGCUUUCUGGUCUGUUACUGACGCUGAGAUACGAAAGCCAGGGUAGCGAACGGGAUUAGAUACCCCGGUAGUCCUGGCUGUAAACGAUGGGCACUAGGUGCAGGAGGUAUCGAUCCCCUCUGUGCCGUAGCUAACGCGUUAAGUGCCCCCGCCUGGGGAGUACGGUCGCAAGGCUGAAACUCAAAUGAAUUG